CUCCCAAAACUAGUAAUACUGAGUCACGAACUCUAAUUUAAUACAUGCAAUGAUAUCAAGGAUCGAAUAUACAAUACUGUUCGAAUAAGAGUUGACAAUACAAUAAAAUGGAAAGACUCCAAGUGAUUGCGACGACCAAGUAGCCCUACCUUGAAUCCUUGCGAUCACACUCUAACUCUGUCCGAAUAUGAUAUCUCCAAUGUCUGGCUCUGCACAAAAAUAUGCAGAAGUGUAGUAUGAGUACACCAUAGUCGGUACCCAAUAAGUAUCAAGACUAACCUCGGUGGAGCAGUGACGAGGUACAGUCAAGACACUCACUAAUCAUUUAACUUGUGCAAUAUAGUAAUAUACAAGAAUAAUAGAAAACAAAUAUCAAUGACGGCAACAAAGAUCAAUCAGGGAUAUGAACAAUAAGGCAACAAGAACACCAUAAAUAUUGCUCAAACGAAUAAGGAACACAAGUACAACCAAUUAAUCAAAUCCUUCAAAUAUAUGCCUUUCAAAUGUAAGUACUUCAAAUAUAAUUCUUUCACAUAUAAUUUUUUCAAAUAAAAAUCUUUCGAAUAUAAUUCUUUCAAAUAAAAAUCACUCUGUGACACUUCAUUUCAUAAUCAUAAAACACGGGUCUCAGCCCACUUUCAUAUUUUCACAACGGAAAACUCAUGUACCAAAAUAUCAAUGUAUAUAAGAUUCGCACGAUCAAUUUAUUUUCAAUAAAGUAAGUUUACAAUUUUUAAACCAAGUAAGAAAUCAACAAAGAAAUGAGUUUAUUUUUGAACUCGUUUGGGUGAAGAAAAUGACAUUUCAAUUAAAAUGAAGCAUCCAAUAGCUACUGAUUUGGGGGUAAAAUUUAUUAAAUUAAAACAUAAUAGCAAUUUCUUUUACUCAAAACAACUCAAACCUCAAAAACCAGUAAAAAUCAGAAACACAAAUUCUCAGAGUCUCGUACGAAGAGCCAAAGCCAACACAAUACAACAAGGAAUAUAAAUAACAUAAUAAAAUUCAAAUAAUACAUCACGGAAGAACACAAGAAUUUACAUAUCACGGAAAAAUAAAAAUAACCAAAGACAAGUACAGCCAUAGAGAAAUAUCAACAAAUGACACUCCCGAAGUACCGCCUCGUAGUCCCAAAUCAUAAAUAAAUUUCAAUCUUUCCUUAUAUCACCGCGGGAGCCUUCACAUUUAGUUUUUAAAAAUUAUUUUUUCCGAAAUAGCAUCCCGCGUUUUAGCCCACCUUAUCACUCCACAUCAUUUCUAGUAGUUCCCCUACUAGCCACGCGUAUCAAGCCCACCUUAUCUCACCGCAUGCGUUUCAACACCCUGACCUUAUAUCACUGCAUGCGUAUCAAUAUCACAAUAUUUCACAAAUCGCACCUCAAGUGCCCAAAUAUCACAGCAUAACACAACUUGCACCUCAAGUGUUCAAAUAUCACCACGUAUUAUAAAUUUGCCACAGAAAUUAACAAUACAUUAUUUUUCAAAAUAAGGAGCCCAUGGCUCGACCAUAAUGUGCAUAAAAAUCUUAACAAAAAUAUCCGGGAAUGAACAACUCAACAGAAUAAUAUUUCACAAUUUAACACAUUGUCUCAAUAUGAUUUACGACCUUUAUAACUCAAUACCAAUUUCAACUACAUGAAUUGGAAAGUAAUUCAUCAAGGAACAACACCUUCUUUAAUCCAAUUUUUUGACAAAUAGAUUAAUGCCUCCUUUUAAAUUUAUUUAAUAAAUUAUUUGCAAAUGAAUAAUCCAUAAUGAAUUUAUCUCCAGGAAAUAUCAACUCAACAAAAACACGGGAUUCACAUAAAAAUCAAGGUGUCAAUCACACCAAAUUAUCAUAUAAAAAUAAAUUCAACAAACAAGGAUUUAGGCAUGAUAAAUAAAGGAUUUACUAUGUUCCAAUAAUUUUUCAAAUUAAUACAUAAGUGCGUCUACGAAUUUCAACCAAUGUAACUUGCAUAUAUAAACCAAGUACGCAGUCGUCACCUCGCGUACAUGGUUUUCAAUUAUACAAUUUCCACAUAAGACUCAAUGCCUAAGGCAUAAUUCCCCCACUUAAGGUUAGGCAAGAUACUUACCCUUUUGAAGUUAGGCCGAAAUUCCAGAAUAGCCUUCUUGCGUGAAAUGACCUCCGGACGGCUCAAAUCUAUCCAAAUUGAUUGUAUAACUUCAUUAAAAUUCAUCAAAAAUAAAUUCGAAUAAUAAAACGUCAACUUAAAAUUUUGCAUUAAAAAGUCAACGCGGGGCCCGCCUCUCGGAACCGGACAGAAUUUUUACGAAAUCCGAACACCCAUUCCGAUACGAGUUCAACCAUACCAAAUUUAUCAAAUUUCGAUAAAGAAUCGAUCUGCAAAUCUUAAAUUUUUGUUUUUGAAAGAUUUUGCAAAGAUCACAUUUCUUCCAAUUUAUUCACUAAUAAAAGAUGAAAAUAAUCAUGGAAUCAUGAAAUAUAAUGAAACCCGAGUAGGAAACAUUUACGCCAAUCCAUUUGGUGAAAAAUCCUCUAAACAAUCGCCCAAAUCCGAGUACCCUAGCUCCAAAAAUGUUGAAAUGAACUAAAAACAAAACUACUCAAUAAAAAUCCAUUUUCCGUCAUUAAAAGUCAAUUUCCCGUCACUAAAGGUCCGCACCAGAACCUGCUUGCACCAACAAUUUAAUAUUUCACUAAAAAGGCUUUAACUCCAUCAUACGAACUCGAAAUUCGACGAUUCUUGUUCCUAUGAGUCACAAAUAAUAAUACGAACCUAGUCGUUUAAUCGAAACUCAAUGCGGAGCUUAUUUGCUCAAUGCGAUACUAAUUUCACUCGUUAAAUAAUUAACUCAUGUUUCAUGCUAAAAACCCAAUCACGGCUUGAUGAAAUUAGACCAAACUUUUCAGAUUAUUUCUAUAAUUCAUUAUCAAACUCCCGAAAAUCUCAAAAUUAAAUUUCGGUAUCUAGAACUAAAAAUGGACCUUUGAAUCUUACAUGCUUAUGAUCAAAACACCAAACUCUUCCAAAAACCCUUCCAAGACUCAUCCGAGCCCCAUGGGACCUCAACCAAGUAUACUAACAAGUCCCAUAACAUGACACGAACUUAGUUGAUGCCUCAAAUUACAUUAAACAACACUAAAAUACGAAACUCACCCCAAUUCAAGCUUAAUGAAAACUAACAAAUUUCAAAUUCUAUAUUUAAUGUCGAAACCUAUCAAAUCAAUCCGGAAUGACCCCAAAUUUUGCACACGAGUCCUAAAUGACAUAAUGGAUCUGUUCCAAUUUUCGGAAUCAAAUUUCGACUCUGAUAUCAAUGAAGUCAACUCCCGGUCAAACUUUCUAAAAAUCUUCCAUUUUCUAACUUUCGCCAAAAUGCGUCAAAUUGUCCUACGGACCUCCAAAUCCAAAUCCAGACAUAUGCCUAAGUCCGAAAUCACCAUACGAAGCUAUUGACAUCAUCAAAAUUUCAUUCCGGAGUCAUUUACCCAAAAGUCAAACUCCGGUCAACUCUUUUCAUUUAAACUUCAAAAAUAAGAAUUGUUCUUUCAAUUUAGUUCUGAAUCUUCUGGAAAUCAAACUCGAUCGCACACGCAAGUCAUAAUACACAUUACAAAGCUUCGCGGGACCUUGAGUCACUGAACGGGACGUAAAUUCUUAAAACGACAAGUCGGGUCGUUACACGUCAUUAUGAGAAAGUCUAGUUUUUUUCCUUGACCCCUGAUGAAGCUCCAACCCGAGGAUACUUUUAAACCAUAGUAAGAGAUUGAGUUGUAAAAUUGAACUUUUUUCUUAAUGAAUUUCACACGGGGAAUUCACUUAUUUCACACUUGAGCUUCGUCAAUGGCAAUGGCAAAUACGAUAAUUGUCCUAACGGCAACAUUAUAAAUGAACCAAAAGUUUGGAGGAGGGGAAAGUUGUUCAAUUUCGGGUAAUACAAGGACAAAUUUGAACCUAUUCCCUUGUUGGAAGUUUUUGCUUGAUUUACAUGCUACAACAUAGAUGAUGAGACUACUACUAACUCAAUGUUAAAAAACAAGAUAGAAAGCAUAGUUAAAACGUCAACAAAGAAGAGGACAAGAAACAAGACAAGAACCAAUAAAACCUAUUGAAUGCAUUAAAAAUCACACAUACAUGCCUUAAACGUUUCACUUCCAUGUCAAUACAUGCAUUAAAUUCUAUAUGGCAGAAGCAUCAUGUCAAAAUCGGUGGAUUAUAUCUGUGUAGUUUGUGUAUUAAGAUUGAGCAUUCAUCAAUGGAGGCUUAGCUGUGAAAGAACAGAGAUGAGUGAAGAGAAUUUGGAGAAGAAGAAGAAAA
rnacentral:lncRNA from 1 species